rnacentral:rRNA from 1 species
GGAUGCGAUCAUACCUGCACUAACGCACCGGAUCCCAUCAGAACUCCGAAGUUAAGCGUGCUUGGGCGAGAGUAGUACUAGGAUGGGUGACCCCCUGGGAAGUCCUCGUGUUGCAUCCC